GGCGCUGGGAAACUACCGCGCAUCUCACAUAUUGCCGCGCUGCGUCGCAUAGUGAUGGGUGGACUGAAAGGAGCGCUCCCGAGACGCAUCCCUUAAACAUUUCAAUGUCUCUUCCUCGGAGCCGCGGACUCUAGGCGAUCUGUGGACCGCUUCGCUUUCUGUCCAAACGCGGCUUGAUCAGAUGUCUUGUAUACGACCAAAACUUCAAACACGCAUUCACUGGAAACGCAAAUGGCUCCCAGUUUGAGGAGUGCGCGGAGACAUUUCCCCAAACUGGAUAACUGCAGCGCGGCUGCUGGAGACUUGCGCUCGCAGGAAUGGAUAAGAGUGAGAGGAGAGGGGUUGUUUCUGAGAACCAGGAAAAGAUACGGAGCAGGGGUAAAGCCUGCAAACAGUCUGUUAUUGAUAGGAAUGGUCCUAAUUAUGUUGCAGUGUGGACAGGCCACCGAGGAUGAGAAUAACAACGAUGCAUCUGGUUCCUCUGCUCUACCCGGUGAGCCCGCCCAUCACACUAACCCAUUGGUGGGUCUGCGGGUGGUGGAGGAGGAGCCUUUCCCAGUCAUCCAACCACAUGGCAGUGCUUUGUCAAAGGGGGAUGAGUUAAGGGAGCAGCCUGCAUUCUCUUCUGUACUGACCCUGCUGACAGACACUCCCAAACGCCCACUGAGCUUGGUCCAAUCCAGGGCCUCUCCAACCAUCACCAAGGACAACAGACCAACCAUCCAAUGGCCUUCAGUUGCACCCGUCCAAAUUGCUAAGAGAUCUUCUUCCUAUUUUUCUUCCUCGUCUUCCCCUGCAGAGCGGAGCAGACACUUGUCUGAUAGCUCAGGUUUGACUCCAAGUAGGCUUCACCAGACUGUUACCAUGGCUACAUCAGUUUCACCAGUGGCAUUCUUCAUGACUGGGAAUUUGAGAGCAAUGUUAACUUCAUUGUCAUUAUCAUCACCAGCAUUGUUAUCUUCAUUAUCACGGUUGUCAUCAUCAUCAGAAGCAACAAUAGCAUUACCGUCAUUAUCGUCACUUUCAUUAUCUUCAUCCUCAUUAUCACCUUCAUCAGUGUCUUCAGCAUCACCACUAUCACUGUCACCAGCAUCAUCAUCACCAACAGCAUUAUCAUUACCAUCAUUCGCAUCACCAUCAUCAUCAGAAAUACCUGAAUCAUCACCAUCAUUAUCAUCACCACCAGCAUCAUCACCUUCCUUAGCAUCACUAUCCUUAGGGUCAGGAUCAUCAUCAUCACCAUUCUUAGGGUCAGGAUCAUCAUCACCAUCAUUAUCAUCACCAUCCUUAGGGUCAGGAUCAUCACCAUUCUUAGGGUCAGGAUCAUCAUCACCAUCAUUAUCAUCACCAUCCUUAGGGUCAGGAUCAUCAUCAUCUGCAUUACCAACCUUAGCAUCAGUAUCAUCAUCACCAUCAUCAUCAUCUUUCUUAGGGUCAGGAUCAUCGUCAUCCUCUUUAAUACCAAAACCGAUGUACACAACAAGGACAUACAGAGCAUCAGCCAACAUAGACACCAGUCCAUUCACAACAUGGACACCAGCAAAGAUAGAACCGAAACACUCCACAUCUAUAGCGGUCACCUCCGAAAACGUGCCUCUCAAAGUUUCAGCCAGCGCCGUCACGUUCUCACGCAACCGUAGUAUCACUAUGCUUUUCAGUAACAACAGAGAGGAAAGCUCUUUUCUUCUUUCCUCUCAUAUCCAGGAGAGUCAAGCUGAUCAAAGCAAACAGGUGGCUAGCUCAGCAUUGCUGUCAACUCCAUCUACUCCACCAC
ensembl:lncRNA